rnacentral:rRNA from 1 species
UACGUAGGAGACAAGCGUUGUCCGGAAUUACUGGGUGUAAAGCGCGUGUAGGCGGUAGGCCAAGUCUGCUGUGAAAUCGCCCGGCUCAACUGGGCGCGGUCGGUGGAAACUGGUCAACUGGAGGACGGUAGAGGCGAGUGGAAUUCCCGGUGUAGUGGUGAAAUGCGUAGAGAUCGGGAGGAACACCAGUGGCGAAGGCGGCUCGCUGGGCCGGCAUUGGACGCUGAGGAGCGAAAGCCAGGGGAGCAAACGGG